CCCCUCUCUCUCUCCCUCUUUCCUGUGCAAAGUUCUCUAAUUUAUGCUUGAAUUCACUUGUUUGUUGUGGUAAUUUAGGAACCUCAUAUGAUGAUUGAUUUCAUGUGGUUGCUUCAUUUGCUGUGGCUGAUGAUUUUUUUGGGUAGUUAUGUUUUGCACGCCAUGUGUUUGGAUUUAUGUUUCUUUGAGAGUUUAUGGAAACAUUAACCUAUAUUUUCCCUGAAUAGAUUGCACAGUAAGAUUGUUUGAAAUGAGGUUUGUACCUCCUUUUUUUUUCUAUACCAAGACAAAAGCAUUGAAUUGAGACAGGGAUUGGGGAAAGGGAUCUUAAAAAUGCCUCUUUUAGGGCCAAUAAUUGUACUAAUCAAACACAAAAAAAAGGGGAAAAUCGACCAAACCCACAAAUUACAUUGCUGCUUAGAUCAUCAAUCGAGGUGUGAUUUCACAAUGUGAUAGGAUUUAAAUUGCACGAGCAAAUAGGAAAACCUAAAUUAAUGAAAAAAAAAGUCAAAUUUUUGCGGAGUGAGCGGAAAAUUACCCAGCGAGAACGUCGAAAUUUUGGACCAAAACCUUGAGGAAAGAUCCCGAUCCCAAUCCCAUUCCAACUCUUCUUCGUCUUCGAUCUCGAUUACUCUCUUUUCUUUAAAAUCUAAAAUCGCAAAGAGGAUGAGUUGUUCGCUUGUCCUUUUUUUUUGUAUUUCUCUUUGCUUUUAGGGCAUGGGAGCGAGUGCAAUGUUUCUCACACUCACAACGGGAGGGGACAGUAUGCGGCGGUGCGACUGGGCUCAUAGAAAUUUCUAUGCGGGCGAUUCUGGAAGGUUUAUUCGAGGAAAGUUGAGAAUGAAUUAGUGAAUAUCUAGAAAAAAAAACUUAGUGCCGGUUUGGACCCGUUUCUCUGCUGCUACUGCUGCUGCUAUAGCUUUUGCUGUGAUGCGAAGCAAUGGUUAUUUACAUUUUGAAAGUAUUGAGGGCUGCUUGACAAUAAUACACGAUGCACCGUAAAGAAUAUAGGUAUGAUUACAGAAUGGUGCUUUAUUGAGUUCUAUCAACCAGGAAUCCAUGAUACAAGUGUCAUCCAAAUUCGUUCGUGAGAUGGCUAAUGUAAUAAGUAUCAUCCAUAUGCAAGAUUAAUAUUGAUCUGAUUAUUUGUCUUUCUUGGCAAAGCAAGCUUAACUAUCUCCACAAGUUAAGAGAGUUCAUUCCAUUCUUUCUCAUACUAAAACACUGGUGUAAAAGAUUGAGUGAUUAAACGUAGCUCUAGAUUUCAUCUACUUGGGUAAACUUAACUUUAUUGUGAUAAUGCCGGUCUUUUAUGCUUUGUUGAUUCAGGGUGUAAGAUUAAUGGAAGUUUCUGAGAAAUCUUCAUCUAGUUAUCACCUGGGCCCGCCGUGGUUAUUUAAAGGCAGUGCACUCUACCAGCUUCAUCUAGUGAAGGCGGAUAUUGCUCGUGCUUUCAUACCUAAGGAGCUGAAACUUGUUGAAGCCUUCGGGUAUACGCUUGGUGGUUUGUUCCUUGCGCACUAUGACGAAAGCCCGGCUGGAAAGUUUGAUGAGCUCGUAGUAAUUGCUGGUAUCGUGUGGAACCCGCCUACUUCAUGCGCGUGGGCUGCAAGAGUACUUGUGAAUAGUAAUGAAGCUUGUCACCAUGGUAGAAAGGAAAUUGGGCUUCCGAGCCAUGUUGCCAUAUUUUCGAAGAGAAAUGUGGAACAUACAAAGAAACCAUUGAGUAGAUGCAGUAGCCUUCUAAGUAUGAUUGGCAUUAGUUCAACUUGUCCCAAGCAACUGGCACAUAGCGAGAUUGAAGUAUCAGAGAUUGAGGGCUCUUCUAUGAUGCACAUGUGUAAUAUCAGCUUGCCAUUUGCCGUGCCGAAAUCAAGUAAGAGUGGCAUGUGGAUGGGCCCUAGAAUCAGAAUGUCUCUUCCGAGUUUCAGCGGCCAAACGGAAUACAAUUCUCACCUUCUAAAGUACGCCUGCCAAAUGGAAUGCAGUGUACGAGCAGUAAAAGCUGCUAAAGUAUCGAGCCCGGCUACUAAAGACACUCAUAAGCAUUCUCGAGACGCUCACUCUGAUUACAGCAAUCAAGAUACCAGUCUUUUAGCGGAAGAUAAUGCAUGGAAUCGAAGCAUAUCGGUGUUAUUGUCGAAGCCCAUCUUGGCUUUGGAGUUCAACCUUCUAAAGAUGCAGGUCGAAGCUCCGAAGUUCGUGGUUCCUGACUCGAAGAAGAGUCAAGUUCGAUAUUCGAGUGCCUAGUUAUAUCCUCUGGACAUUUACCUAUCUAGAUAUAUGUCUUUGGGAAUAACUUUUAGGUUUCGCUUCUGAUUAUUCGGUGUUUUUGUCUCCAAAUGUGAGAUUGCUACUUAAGCCACAAGCACUUAUUGGUAAAAGCAGCAAGGAAUGAUCAAGUAAAGAUCAAGCAUAGGCUUCUGCAAUGUCCAUGAGAUACUGGGACAGCUCCUCCGGCGUCGACAGCAUCGCCAUGUGGUCAGCGUU